GACGAACCGAGCGAACGUUAUUCGGAAUCACUGGGCUUAAAGGGUGCGUAGGCGGGCAAGUAAGUCAGGGGUGAAAUCCCACGGCCCAACCGUGGAAGUGCCUCUGAUACUGCGAGUCUAGAGGGGGAUAGGGGCAUGCGGAACUUCCGGUGGAGCGGUGAAAUGCGUAGAUAUCGGAAGGAACACCGGUGGCGAAAGCGGCGUGCUGGAUCCCUACUGACGCUGAGGCACGAAAGCCAGGGGAGCAAACGGG
rnacentral:rRNA from 1 species